AUGAACGCUGGCGGCGUGCCUAAUACAUGCAAGUCGAGCGAACAGACGAGGAGCUUGCUCCUCUGACGUUAGCGGCGGACGGGUGAGUAACACGUGGAUAACCUACCUAUAAGACUGGGAUAACUUCGGGAAACCGGAGCUAAUACCGGAUAAUAUAUUGAACCGCAUGGUUCAAUAGGGAAAGACGGUUUUGCGGUCACUUAUAGAUGGAUCCGCGCCGCAUUAGCUAGUUGGUAAGGUAACGGCUUACCAAGGCGACGAUGCGUAGCCGACCUGAGAGGGUGAUCGGCCACACUGGAACUGAGACACGGUCCAGACUCCUACGGGAGGCAGCAGUAGGGAAUCUUCCGCAAUGGGCGAAAGCCUGACGGAGCAACGCCGCGUGAGUGAUGAAGGUCUUCGGAUCGUAAAACUCUGUUAUUAGGGAAGAACAAAUGUGUAAGUAACUAUGCACGUCUUGACGGUACCUAAUCAGAAAGCCACGGCUAACUACGUG
rnacentral:rRNA from 1 species